rnacentral:rRNA from 1 species
UACAUGGGGUGCAAACGUUGCUCGGAAUUAUUGGGCGUAAAGCGCACGUAGGCGGUUCGUUAAGUCGGAUGUGAAAGCCCUCGGCUCAACUGAGGAAGUGCACCCGAAACUGGCGAGCUUGAGUACGAAAGAGGAUCGCGGAAUUCCCGGUGUAGAGGUGAAAUUCGUAGAUAUCGGGAGGAACACCUGUGGCGAAAGCGGCGCACUGGACCAUAACUGACGCUGAGGCGCGAAAGCUAGGGGAGCAAACAGG